rnacentral:rRNA from 1 species
UGGGGAAUCUUCCGCAAUGGGCGAAAGCCUGACGGAGCAAUGCCGCGUGAGUGAUGAAGGAAUUCGUUCCGUAAAGCUCUUUUGUUUAUGACGAAUGUGCAGACUGUGAAUAAUGGUUUGUAAUGACGGUAGUAAACGAAUAAGCACCGGCUAACUACGUGCCAGCAGCCGCGGUAAUACGUAGGUGGCGAGCGUUGUCCGGAAUUAUUGGGCGUAAAGAGCAUGUAGGCGGUUUUUUAAGUCCGGAGUGAAAAUGCGGGGCUCAACCCCGUAUGGCUCUGGAUACUGGAAGACUUGAGUGCAGGAGAGGAAAGGGGAAUUCCCAGUGUAGCGGUGAAAUGCGUAGAUAUUGGGAGGAACACCAGUGGCGAAGGCGCCUUUCUGGACUGUGUCUGACGCUGAGAUGCGAAAGCCAGGGUAGCGAACGGGA